rnacentral:misc_RNA from 1 species
GAUGAAGAACGCAGCGAAAUGCGAUACGUAAUGUGAAUUGCAGAAUUCAGUGAAUCAUCGAGUCUUUGAACGCACAUUGCGCCCCCUGGUAUUCCGGGGGGCAUGCCUGUCCGAGCGUCAUUGCUGCCCUCAAGCACGGCUUGUGUGUUGGGCCUCCGUCCUCCUCCCGGGGGACGGGGCCGAAAGGCAGCGGCGGCACCGCGUCCGGUCCUCGAGCGUAUGGGGCUUCGUCACCCGCUCUUGUAGGCCCGGCCGGCGCUUGCCGACACAUCAAUCUUUUUUCCAGGUUGACCUCGGAUCAGGUAGGGAUACCCGCUGAACUUAAGCAUAUCAAUAAGCGGAGGA